rnacentral:rRNA from 1 species
UACGUAGGUGCAAGGCGUUGUCCGGAAUUAUUGGGCGUAAAGAGCUCGUAGGCGGUCUGUCGCGUCGGCUGUGAAACUCGGGCUCAACUCCGAGCUUGCAGUCGAUACGGGCAGGCUAGAGUUCGGCAGGGGAGACUGGAAUUCCUGGUGUAGCGGUGAAAUGCGCAGAUAUCAGGAGGAACACCGGUGGCGAAGGCGGGUCUCUGGGCCGAUACUGACGCUGAGGAGCGAAAGCGUGGGGAGCGAACAGG